UGGUCUAUGGCGUAGUGGUUUGAGCCUUGGGCUGAGACCCUGGAGACCAGGAUUCAAUUCCCAGCUUGGCUGG